CGGUUGAUCCUGCCGGAGGCUAUUGCUAUCAGGGUUUGACUAAGCCAUGCGAGUCGAGAGGUGAAAGACCUCGGCAUACUGCUCAGUAACACGUGGAUAAUCUGCCCUCAGGUGAGGAAUAAUCCCGGGAAACUGGGGCUAAUGCCUCAUAGGAGACGGGUGCUGGAAUGCUCUGUCUCCGAAAGGUCCGCCGCCUGAGGAUGAGUCUGCGUCCGAUUAGGUUGUUGUUGGGGUAACGGCCCAACAAGCCUUUGAUCGGUACGGGUUGUGGGAGCAAGAGCCCGGAGAUGGAUUCUGAGACAUGAAUCCAGGCCCUACGGGGCGCAGCAGGCGCGAAAACUUUACAAUGCGAGCAAUCGUGAUAAGGAAACCCUGAGUGCCUGUCAAUGCAGGCUGUUCUGGUGUCUAACACACACCAGGAGAAAGGGCGGGGCGAGACCGGUGCCAGCCGCCGCGGUAAUACCGGCUGCUCGAGUGAUAGCCACUUUUACUGGGCUUAAAGCGUUCGUAGCUUGGUCGUUAAGUCUCUGGGGAAAUCUUUUGGCUCAACCAAAAGGCGUCUCAGGGAAACUGACGAUCUUGGAACCGGGAGAGGUAAGACGUACUUCGGGGGUAGGAGUGAAAUCUUGUAAUCCCCGAGGGACGACCGAUGGCGAAGGCAUCUUACCAGAACGGCUUCGACAGUGAGGGACGAAAGCUGGGGGAGCAAACCGGAUUAGAUACCCGGGUAGUCCCAGCCGUAAACGAUGUGCGUUAGGUGUGUCAGUGACCACGAGUCGCUGAGGUGCCGAAGGGAAACCGUGAAACGCACCGCCUGGGAAGUACGGUCGCAAGGCUGAAACUUAAAGGAAUUGGCGGGGGAGCAC
rnacentral:rRNA from 1 species